GCUGGGCAUUGUGGAACAUGCCUGUAAUCCCAGUGACUCGGGAGGCUGAGGCAGGAGGAUCAUAAGUUUGAGGCCAGCCUCAGCAACUUAAUGAGGCUCUCAGCAACUUAGUGAAACCCUGUCUCAA
rnacentral:sRNA from 1 species